rnacentral:rRNA from 1 species
CAGUCGCCACGGGAACACGAAGGGUGCAAGCGUUACUCGGAAUUACUGGGCGUAAAGCGUGCGUAGGUGGUGGUUUAAGUCCGUUGUGAAAGCCCUGGGCUCAACCUGGGAAUGGCAAUGGAUACUGGCGAGCUAGAGUGUGUCAGAGGAUGGUGGAAUUCCCGGUGUAGCGGUGAAAUGCGUAGAGAUCGGGAGGAACAUCAGUGGCGAAGGCGGCCAUCUGGGACAACACUGACGCUGAGGCACGAAAGCGUGGGGAGCAAACAGGAUUAGAUACCCGUGUAGUCCCUGUAUCUUAUAC